rnacentral:rRNA from 1 species
CGGCGGACGGGUGAGUAACGCGUGGGUAACCUACCCUGUACACACGGAUAACAUACCGAAAGGUAUGCUAAUACGGGAUAAUAUAUUUGAGAGGCAUCUCUUGAAUAUCAAGGUGAGCCAGUACAGGAUGGACCCGCGUCUGAUUAGCUAGUUGGUAAGGUAACGGCUUACCAAGGCGACGAUCAGUAGCCGACCUGAGAGGGUGAUCGGCCACAUUGGAACUGAGACACGGUCCAA